CGCGGCCUAUCAGCUUGUUGGUGGGGUAACGGCUCACCAAGGCGACGAUCGGUAGCUGGUCUGAGAGGACGAUCAGCCACACUGGGACUGAGACACGGCCCAGACUCCUACGGGGGGCAGCAGUGGGGAAUCUUGCGCAAUGGGCGAAAGCCUGACGCAGCGACGCCGUGUGCGGGAAGAAGGCCUUCGGGUUGUAAACCGCUUUCAGGAGGGACGAAGCCACUCGGGUGAAUAGCCUAGAGGGUGACGGUACCUCCAGAAGAAGCCCCGGCUAACUACGUGCCAGCAGCCGCGGUAAUACGUAGGGGGCUAGCGUUGUCCGGAUUUAUUGGGCGUAAAGAGCGUGUAGGCGGCCGAGUAAGUCCGGUGUGAAAACUCGAGGCUCAACCUCGAGAUGUCAUCGGAAACUAUUCGGCUAGAGUCCGGAAGAGGAGAGUGGAAUUCCUGGUGUAGCGGUGAAAUGCGCAGAUAUCAGGAAGAACACCUAUGGCGAAAGCAGCUCUCUGGGACGGUACUGACGCUGAGACGCGAAAGCGUGGGGAGCGAACAGGAUUAGAUACCCUGGUAGUCCACGCUGUAAACGAUGGGCACUAAGUGUCGGCAGGUUACUGUCGGUGCCGCAGUUAACGCAGUAAGUGCCCCGCCUGGGGAGUACGG
rnacentral:rRNA from 1 species